UUGCGCAUGCGUCACCACUCGCUUGUGAGUCCCUAGUGAUUUGCCACCCGCGGGUGGUAUUUACAGUUCGAUGCCUACACUCGCGAGUGGGACAGGCCUGCUUUUAUGUCCGUCUCUUUG